AAUCUGGUUGAGUUCGCCUUGAAAGUUGGAGGCCUAAAUAGAUUUACUCGUGUUAGAAGGACAACAUGUCACUCAGACGAUAUGGAUUCUUCCGAUGCCCUAGCUGUAAUGCACACUGGGAAAGUUCACAUACCUACAAAAAAUCGCAAAAUGUGGAGAUUGUAAGAAAUGCCACAUUGGCUGCGAACCAUACAGGGUAGAGAGACUGAUUUGUUCCAUUUGCAAGACACAGCCCUGCACAUGCACGGCAGAAGAAAGAAGGGCCAGGCAUAAUGACCCAAAUAAGCCCCACAGGUCCGACCUCUGUCAUAAGUGUCGCUCUGGUUUCCCAUGCCAUGGAUGAUGGUUUUCCUCCACCAAUAUUCCAAGACAUCUCUACACGGAUGAAUUAAUAGUGAUUUCUGUGACUAAAAUAUAGAAACAUAAUGUUCGGCAAUACAUACACAUAAAAAUACGGAAAAAAAUAACAGUUUGUGUGAUUUUGAUGCUGGUAACUUAUAAAUGUAUCAAGAUUGAUUUAUUUAAUUAACGAAUUAAUUAUCUAUGGUCCUAUCGGAUUAGAUGUAAAGGUAACAAUUAAAUUAAUUUGUAAGAUGUAAUGUCAAAAUUUCAUGUGUACAGCGUAUAAAAAAUUGUAUCAAAUGAAACAGAAAUGAUAUGCCGUAGAAUGCGAGAAUCCGGGAAUCUGUUUAUAUAUAUCCUUUUACAUUUAAACUGUAUGUCCAAUAAAUAUGUCUAUGUAUGUUUGUUUUAAAUUGUUUGGUAGAUGUAGAAUAAUAUGUGGAAAGAUCCCUCAAUAUUACUUUGAAUGAUAGAUACCUAGGCUCAAAAGUUAUAUAAAAUUAUAGAAUCAAAUUCAUUUCAAUUUUUGCAUGUACAUUUUGCCGGUGUAGCGAGAUAUUUUGAGCCGUGUUGAAAAAUGUCCCGUAGGUCACUUUUCAACGUCAAAUAUUGAGACCAAAGCUGCUGAAUAAAGACCCUGGUUCGAUGAAAGUUGGCCCGCAUCGUGGAACUUUGAUCACAAAACCGGUUCUAAAUUCAACAUCAAAUAAACGGGUAUUAAAAAAAUGAUUUUAUAUCUGAUUAAUUCAAUAAAAAAAUUACAAAUCUUUC
rnacentral:misc_RNA from 1 species